CAAGUGUUGCUUUAGAUUGGAAGCUGCUUACUUUCCUUAGAAAGCAAUCGCUAGGAAUUCUUUCAGGUUUGAUUUGAAGUUGUGUUCUUCCAGGGAGUAUUUGUGUGCUUGAGUAUAAUGCUAACAGUGUCUUGUUCUAAGACAGCGUCUUGUUCUAAAUGCUCUGUCUGCAGUCUCUUUGGAACACGUUGGCAAUACGGAUUUGGACCAAAAGCCCUCAUGAAGAUAAGCUUACAGACAUGAAUCCUCAGAGGAGAUUUCCUCUCUUCACCCAGUACCAAGGGCAAGAUGGUGUUUCACUGCUGGCCUCUUCUGCGUGUCUACUAAGUAGAGCACAUCUGCCAUGAAACAUCAGCAGAGAAUGACUUCAUUAAAUAUUAAAUACUGUUUUCUGCCUUCACAACAAAACCCUCAAAUGGUGGAAGCGUCCAGGAGGGCAACCAAACUCAUUCUGAGCUGCAAAGUGCUCCUUGCAAAAGUCAGCCCGUUGCUGUGCUACUGGUUCCCCGUGAGUAAUGACCCACUGGCUGCUUGUCCAGUUUGAACAAUUGUUACGACAGCAUCUCUAAUACUGGUUUUCGCAGAAGCUUGAGACAACGUAUUUGUGGAUUAGAAACAAUCUUCGAGGCUUGUAAAAUUUGCCCAACACUCAAUAAUAAUUCAAAAUGAGAGACAAAGGAGGGUAUGUCAUAGGCCUUACAUUCCUUUUUCCCAAAUCCAUUCCUUUGCUUUGAUGUACAUAAUGGAAGUACAAGAUUUUAACCUAUUUGACAUUCACUUUGGAAUUUUCCCCUUCUAUAAUUUUUAAAUUCCCUUGAAAAAUCUCAGGGACCAUUGGUUUUCCUAUUAGUACCAUCUGCUGGUCUGGACAUUCUGACUGGGUUCUGGUUUGUAAGCUUCAAUACAC